rnacentral:rRNA from 1 species
AGGAUUAACGCUGGCGGCGUGCAUGAAACAUGCAAGUCGAGCGCGGUACGUGGCUUCGGUCACGUAUCUAGCGGCGCACGGGUGAGUAACACGUGAGCAACCUACCUUCGAGUUCGGGAUAGCCCUGGGAAACCAGGAUUAAUACCGGAUGUGGUCACAACGGGACAUCCCGAUGUGAAAAAAGGCGUAAGCCGCUCGAUGACGGGCUCGCGGCCUAUUAGCUUGUUGGUGGGGUAAUGGCCUACCAAGGCGACGAUGGGUAGCUGGUCUGAGAGGACGAUCAGCCACACUGGGACUGAGACACGGCCCAGACUCCUACGGGAGGCAGCAGUUAGGAAUUUUCCGCAAUGGGCGAAAGCCUGACGGAGCAACGCCGCGUGUGUGAUGAAGGCCUUCGGGUUGUAAGCACUGUCGGAGGGAAGAAUGAAUGACGGUACCUCCAAGAAAGCCCGGCUAACUACGUGCCAGCAGCCGCGGU